GGCCUGUUAGCUCAGCUGGUUAGAGCAUGGUGAUAAUAAUGCCAAUGUUGUGGGUUCGAUCCCCACAUGGGCCA
rnacentral:tRNA from 1 species